AACGAACGCUGGCGGCAGGCCUAACACAUGCAAGUCGAGCGCCCUCGCAAGAGGGAGCGGCGGACGGGUGAGUAACGCGUGGGAAUUUUCCUCAAAGUACGGAACAACUCAGGGAAACUUGGGCUAAUACCGUAUGAUGUCUAGCGACCAAAGAUUUAUCGCCUUGGGAUAAGCCCGCGUCAGAUUAGGUAGUUGGUGGGGUAACGGCCUACCAAGCCUGCGAUCUGUAGCUGGUCUGAGAGGACGAUCAGCCACAUUGGGACUGAGACACGGCCCAAACUCCUACGGGAGGCAGCAGUGGGGAAUCUUGCGCAAUGGGCGAAAGCCUGACGCAGCCAUGCCGCGUGAAUGGUGAAGGUCUUAGGAUUGUAAAGUUCUUUCGCCCGUGACGAUGAUGACGGUAACGGGAGAAGAAGCCCCGGCUAACUUCGUGCCAGCCGCCGCAGUAACAC
rnacentral:rRNA from 1 species